rnacentral:rRNA from 1 species
UACAGAGGUCCCGAGCGUUGUUCGGAUUCACUGGGCGUAAAGGGUGCGUAGGUGGCUGGGCAAGUUUGAUGUGAAAGCUCAGGGCUUAACCCUGAAAUGGCAUUGAAUACUGCCUGGCUGGAGGUUUGGAGGGGGGACUGGAAUUCUUGGUGUAGCAGUGAAAUGCGUAGAUAUCAAGAGGAACACCAGUGGCGAAGGCGAGUCCCUGGACAACACCUGACACUGAGGCACGAAAGCCGGGGGAGCAAACAGG